rnacentral:rRNA from 1 species
GACGAACGCUGGCGGCGGGCUUAACACAUGCAAGUCGAACGGAAAGGCCCUGCUUUUGUGGGGUGCUCGAGUGGCGAACGGGGGAGUAACACGUGAGUAACCUGCCCUUGACUUUGGGAGAAGUUCAGGAAACUGGGGCUAAUACCGGAUAGGAGCUCCUGCUGCAUGGCGGGGGUGGGAAAGUUGCGGCGUGCGGGGAUGGACUCGCGGCUUAUCAGCUUGUUGGUGGGGUAGUGGCUUACCAAGGCUGUGACGGGUAGCCGGCCUGAGAGGGUGACCGGCCACAUUGGGACUGAGAUACGGCCCAGACUCCUACGGGAGGCAGCAGUGGGGAAUAUUGCACAAUGGGCGGAAGCCUGAUGCAGCAACGCCGCGUGCGGGAUGACGGCCUGCGGGUUGUAAACCGCUUUCGCCUGUGACGAAGCGUGAGUGACGGUAAUGGGUAAAGAAGCACCGGCUAACUACGUG